AGAGUUUGAUCCUGGCUCAGGACGAACGCUGGCGGCGUGCAUAACACAUGCAAGUCAAGGGGGCCCGCAAGGGCAACCGGCGAACGGGUGCGUAACACGUGAGCAACCUACCUCUGUAUGGGGCAUAGCCGGCCUAACGGCCGGGUAAUUCCGCAUACGAUCUUCGAGAGACAUCUCUUGUUGAUGAAACGCGCAAGCGGUACGGAGAGGGGCUCGCGGCCUAUCAGCUAGUUGGUGAGGGUAAUGGCCCACCAAGGCGACGACGGGUAGCUGGUCUGAGAGGAUGGCCAGCCACAUUGGGACUGAGAAACGGCCCAGACUCCUACGGGAGGCAGCAGUGGGGAAUCUUGCGCAAUGGCCUAACGGCUGACGCAGCGACGCCGCGUGAGGGAUGAAGCUCUUCGGAGUGUAAACCUCUGUUGCCCGGGACGAAUGGCGACUUUGUCGACGUGACGUACCGGGGAGAAGCCCGGC
rnacentral:rRNA from 1 species